GACGAACGCUGGCGGCGUGCUUAACACAUGCAAGUCGAACGGAAAGGCCCUGCUUUUGUGGGGUGCUCGAGUGGCGAACGGGUGAGUAACACGUGAGUAACCUGCCCUUGACUUUGGGAUAACUUCAGGAAACUGGGGCUAAUACCGGAUAGGAGCUCCUGCUGCAUGGGGGGGGUUGGAAAGUUUCGGCGGUUGGAGAUGGACUCGCGGCUUAUCAGCUUGUUGGUGGGGUAGUGGCUUACCAAGGCUUUGACGGGUAGCCGGCCUGAGAGGGUGACCGGCCACAUUGGGACUGAGAUACGGCCCAGACUCCUACGGGAGGCAGCAGUGGGGAAUAUUGCACAAUGGGCGGAAGCCUGAUGCAGCAACGCCGCGUGCGGGAUAACGGCCUUCGGGUUGUAAACCGCUUUCGCCUGUGACGAAGCGUGAGUGACGGUAAUGGGUAAAGAAGCACCGGCUAACUACGUG
rnacentral:rRNA from 1 species